rnacentral:lncRNA from 1 species
CGUCUUGAAAUACAAAACCAGGGGAUAAAACACAGAAUUCAUCCCCUCUCAGUUCUUACCUACUAUCCAAUUGUCCAUAAUACCUUAAUGAUUCUCCUACUACAAGGAACAAACAAAAUUAAACAAUACUACAUUAUUGCGACUACGAAUUCAAAUCUCCUUCUGUAAAGAGUGCAACACUUGAUCCAUAGGAGAAGCCAACCCCUGAUACACUCGCGUGUUCCUCUCUAUCGAAGAAAAAAAAAAAGAAUUAUUAAAGUUAUUCUUAUUAUGAGCUUUGUUGAACUCAGAGGCGGAGCUAGUAGCCUGCAUACAAGUUCGGCUGAACUCAGUAGUUUUUGUUCAAUCAAUGAUAAAUUUGUAUUAAUUUUAAAUUCAGAUCAACAAAGUAAUCAUCACUUAAAAUUUGCCAUUCUAAAACCUAAAACCCAUAAAUUUGAAUCCUAACUCUGCCUCAUUUGGACGGACGGCGGUGUACUUUAAGGAUUUCUUUACGAAAAAGCAAUUCUAGUGGGGGGUUAGGACAAAGAGAGAAUCAGAUGUAUGGUUAUUGAGAAGAUAUUACUAUGAGCAUUGGUAAUUACUAUCUUAAUUUCACUUGAAAGGGGAUAUUUGAGAAGUCUAUCCAACUAGCCCUUUUAAACUUUGUUCCUUUGUAAGCAUUAUCUUUUGAUACUGGUUUUGAA